rnacentral:rRNA from 1 species
AUUGAACGCUGGCGGCAGGCCUAACACAUGCAAGUCGAACGAGUGGCGGACGGGUGAGCAAUGUCUGGGAAACUGCCUGAUGGAGGGGGAUAACUACUGGAAACGGUAGCUAAUACCGCAUACCAUCGGAUGUGCCCAGAUGGGAUUAGCUAGUAGGUGGGGUAACGGCUCACCUAGGCGACGAUCCCUAGCUGGUCUGAGAGGAUGACCAGCCACACUGGGACUGAGACACGGUCCAGACUCCUACGGGAGGCAGCAGUGGGGAAUAUGGGACAAUGGACGCAAGCCUGAUGCAGCCAUGCCGCGUGUGUGAAGAAGGCCUUCGGGUUGUAAAGUACUUUCGGCGGGGAGGCGUUACCCGCAGAGGAAGCCCCGGCUAACUCCGUGCCAGCAGCCGCGGUAAUUC